rnacentral:rRNA from 1 species
AAUUAUAUGAGAAAUUUUUAUAUAAUGGCCUCUGCCCUAUGAAUUAAUUUUAAAUGGCCGCAGUACACUGACUGUGCUAAGGUAGCAUAAUCAAUUGGCUUUUAAUUGAAGUCUAGAAUGAGUGGGGUAAUGGAAAAAUUCUGUCUCUUUUUAAUUUUUUUAAAAUUACUUUUAAGGUGAAAAUACCUUAGUUUUAGAAAAAAGACGAGAAGACCCUAAGAGUUUAUGAGAUUUUAAUUUAUUAUUUAUUUCUUUUGUUGGGGUGACAGUUAAGCAUAAUAAACCUUAAUAUUAUUUUUUUACAUGAAAAAAUGUUUUGAGUGAAUAAACUACCUUAGGGAUAACAGCACAAUUUUCUUUGAAGAUUAUGACCUCGAUGUUGGACUAGGGAUUUAAUAGUUAGAAGCUAAUUUAACAGGUUCUGUUCGAACUCUUUCCCCU